UGCGUAGGCGGGCUAAUAAGUCAGUGGUGAAAUCUCUCGGCUCAACCGGGAAACUGCCAUUGAUACUGUUAGUCUUGAGUUCGGUUGGGGUAGGCGGAAUGUGUAAUGUAGCGGUGAAAUGCUUAGAUAUCACACAGAACACCAAUUGCGUAGGCAGCUUACUAGACCGACACUGACGCUGAGGCACGAAAGCGUGGGGAGCGAACAGGAUUAGAUACCCUGGUAGUCC
rnacentral:rRNA from 1 species